GGACCAGACUUCUACGGAAGGCAGCAGUGAGGAAUAUUGGUCAAUGGAGGAAACUCUGAACCAGCUAUGCCGCGUGUACGGAAGACAGUCUUUUAGAUUGUAAACUACUUUUGCAUAGAAAUAAAAGUUACUACGUGAUAGUAACCUGAAGGUACUAUGCGAAUAAGUGUCGGCUAAUUUCGUGCCAGCAGCCGCGGUAAUACGAAAGACACAAGCGUUAUCCGGAUUUAUUGGGUUUAAAGGGUGUGUAGGCUGUUUAUUAAGUCAGUAGUGAAAGCUUACAGCUUAACUGUAAAAUUGCUAUUGAUACUGAUAGACUUGAGUAAGAUUGGAGCAUUUGGAAUGUAUGGUGUAGCGGUGAAAUGCAUAGAUAUCAUACAGAACACCAAUAGCGAAGGCAGGAUGCUAAAUCUUCACUGACGCUGAGGCACUAAAGCGUGGGGAGCAAACAGGAUUAGAUACCCUGGUAGUCCACUGCCCUAAACUAUGAUCACUAGCUAUUGGAAAAAACUAUAUUCAGUGGCCAAGCCAAAGCGAUAAGUGAUCCACCUGGGAAGUACGAUCGCAAGAUUGAAACUCAAAGGAAUUGACGGGGUUCCGCACAAGCGGUGGAGCAUGUGGUUUAAUUCGAUGAUACGCGAGGAACCUUACCAAGGCUUAAAUGGAUUACGAAUAAGCUGGAAACAACUUAGUCUAUAAGACGUAAUACAAGGUGCUGCAUGGUUGUCUUCAGUUCGUGCUGUGAAGUGUUUGGUUAAGUCCUAUAACGAGCGCAACCCCUAUUGUUAGUUGCCAACGGGUAAAGCCGGGGACUCUAACAAAACUGCCGGUGUAAAUCGUGAGGAAGGUGGGGAUAAUGUCAA
rnacentral:rRNA from 1 species